rnacentral:rRNA from 1 species
GAUGAACGCUGGCGGCGUGCCUAAUACAUGCAAGUCGAGCGAACGGACGAGAAGCUUGCUUCUCUGAUGUUAGCGGCGGACGGGUGAGUAACACGUGGAUAACCUACCUAUAAGACUGGGAUAACUUCGGGAAACCGGAGCUAAUACCGGAUAAUAUUUUGAACCGCAUGGUUCAAAAGUAAAAGACGGUCUUGCUGUCACUUAUAGAUGGAUCCGCGCUGCAUUAGCUAGUUGGUAAGGUAACGGCUUACCAAGGCAACGAUGCAUAGCCGACCUGAGAGGGUGAUCGGCGACACUGGAACUGAGACACGGUCCAGACUCCUACGGGAGGCAGCAGUAGGGAAUCUUCCGCAAUGGGCGAAAGCCUGACGGAGCAACGCCGCGUGAGUGAUGAAGGUCUUCGGAUCGUAAAACUCUGUUAUUAGGGAAGAACAUAUGUGUAAGUAACUGUGCACAUCUUGACGGUACCUAAUCAGAAAGCCACGGCUAACUACGUG